UUUCCGUAGGUGAACCUGCGGAAGGAUCAUUGUCGAAAAAUGCUAGAACGACCCGUGAAUCGAUGGCAGCUGAAGUGGGGGGCUGGCCCUUCGGGCCUGUCUUCCGAAGUUCCCGGCGAGGGCUGUUGGGGAAUCCCAAAUCCUCUGCCGCGGCACAAAAAACAAAACCCCGGCGCGAAUUGCGCCAAGGAAUUGGAAGAAAAACGAUUAGAGCUUCUCCUCUUGUCCUGGAGACAGUGCAUUGGGGGGGUUGCUCCGUCGUCGUAGACAUAUCUGAACGACUCUCGGCAACGGAUAUCUCGGCUCUCGCAUCGAUGAAGAACGUAGCGAAAUGCGAUACUUGGUGUGAAUUGCAGAAUCCCGUGAACCAUCGAGUUUUUGAACGCAAGUUGCGCCCGAAGCCGCCAGGCCGAGGGCACGCUUGCCUGGGUGUCACGCAACGUCGCUAAUUGUCCCAUCGCCCUCUCUACGGAUCGGGUUCGAUGAGGACUCUUGCGGAUGCUGGCCUCCCGUAAGCCCUCGCUAGCGGUUGGCCAAAAAGAAACCCCCUGCUGGCAGCAGCCACGACAUACGGUGGUUGGCGGCACAUGCUCCUCGAACACCUUCGUGGCGGAGCUCGCCGGCGGGGUGCCGAAGGCCCCGACGCAAAGCGUCUUCUCAAAGCGACCCCCGGUCAGGCGGGAACACCCGCUGAGUUUAAG
rnacentral:rRNA from 1 species